rnacentral:rRNA from 1 species
UACGAGGGGUGCAAGCGUUGCUCGGAAUUAUUGGGCGUAAAGGGUAGGUAGGUGGUCUCAUUUGUCAGGGGUGAAAGCCUUGGGCUUAACCCAAGAAGUGCCCCUGAAACGGUGAGACUCGAGUUCUGGAGAGGGUCGUGGAAUUCCCGGUGUAGCGGUGAAAUGCGUAGAGAUCGGGAGGAACACCAGAGGCGAAGGCGGCGACCUGGACAGAUACUGACACUCAACUACGAAAGCGUGGGGAGCGAACAGGG